rnacentral:rRNA from 1 species
UACGGGGGGAGCAAACGUUGUUCGGAAUCACUGGGCGUAAAGGGCGUGUAGGCGGCUGAAUAAGUGGGAUGUUAAAUCCCCCGGCUCAACCGGGGACCUGCAUCUCAUACUGUUCAGCUCGAGCACAUCAGAGGAGACUGGAAUUCCCGGUGUAGCGGUGAAAUGCGUAGAUAUCGGGAGGAACAUCAGUGGCGAAGGCGGCUUCCGUGGACCAAUACUGACGAUCAGGUGCGAAAGCGUGGGGAGCAAACAGGG